AGAAGCUUAGGAUUUAAGCUUACUAAACCGGUGGCCUUCAACACCACAAAAAAGGGAAAACCCUUAGCUUCUG
rnacentral:tRNA from 1 species